UUUAACACGAAGUGAGUGGCGAACGGGUGAGUAACACGUGGGUAACCUGCCCAGAAGUAGGGGAUAACACCUGGAAACAGAUGCUAAUACCGUAUAACAGAGAAAACCGCAUGGUUUUCUUUUAAAAGAUGGCUCUGCUAUCACUUCUGGAUGGACCCGCGGCGUAUUAGCUAGUUGGUGAGGUAAAGGCUCACCAAGGCAGUGAUACGUAGCCGACCUGAGAGGGUAAUCGGCCACAUUGGGACUGAGACACGGCCCAGACUCCUACGGGAGGCAGCAGUAGGGAAUCUUCCACAAUGGACGCAAGUCUGAUGGAGCAACGCCGCGUGAGUGAAGAAGGGUUUCGGCUCGUAAAGCUCUGUUGUUAAAGAAGAACGUGGGUAAGAGUAACUGUUUACCCAGUGACGGUAUUUAACCAGAAAGCCACGGCUAACUACGUGCCAGCAGCCGCGGUAAUACGUAGGUGGCAAGCGUUAUCCGGAUUUAUUGGGCGUAAAGCGAGCGCAGGCGGUCUUUUAAGUCUAAUGUGAAAGCCUUCGGCUCAACCGAAGAAGUGCAUUGGAAACUGGGAGACUUGAGUGCAGAAGAGGACAGUGGAACUCCAUGUGUAGCGGUGAAAUGCGUAGAUAUAUGGAAGAACACCAGUGGCGAAGGCGGCUGUCUGGUCUGCAACUGACGCUGAGGCUCGAAAGCAUGGGUAGCGAACAGGAUUAGAUACCCUGGUAGUCCAUGCCGUAAACGAUGAUUACUAAGUGUUGGAGGGUUUCCGCCCUUCAGUGCUGCAGCUAACGCAUUAAGUAAUCCGCCUGGGGAGUACGACCGCAAGGUUGAAACUCAAAAGAAUUGACGGGGGCCCGCACAAGCGGUGGAGCAUGUGGUUUAAUUCGAAGCUACGCGAAGAACCUUACCAGGUCUUGACAUCUUCUGACAGUCUAAGAGAUUAGAGGUUCCCUUCGGGGACAGAAUGACAGGUGGUGCAUGGUUGUCGUCAGCUCGUGUCGUGAGAUGUUGGGUUAAGUCCCGCAACGAGCGCAACCCUUAUUACUAGUUGCCAGCAUUAAGUUGGGCACUCUAGUGAGACUGCCGGUGACAAACCGGA
rnacentral:rRNA from 1 species